rnacentral:sRNA from 1 species
AGAGGGGGAAGGUCUGGAGGUUGGAAAGAGGACUGGAAUCUGAUUGGGGUUCCAACAAAUCUGUAACACCGCUGGGAACGACUGGGUCCCCUUUAGGUCCUUUAGGACAGCGUUUGAAAUCUUGCUUUCCCCUGCAGGGAUCCAGCACCGGCUCCUCCUCCGGCAACCACGGUGGGAGCGGCGGAGGAAAUGGACAUAAACCCGGGAAUUUUAAAUCCAAGCUGGGUUUCAUCAACUGGGAUGCCAUAAACAAGAACCAGGUCCCGCCCCCCAGCACCCGAGCCCUCCUCUACUUCAGCCGACUCUGGGAGGAUUUCAAACAGAACACUCCUUUCCUCAACUGGAAAGCAAUUAUUGAGGGUGCGGACGCGUCAUCACUGCAGAAACGUGCAGGCAGAGCCG